GUGACUGUAGCUCAAUGGUGGAGCACCUGGUUGUGGCCCAGGAGGCUAAGGGUUCGAGCCCCUUCAGUCACC
rnacentral:tRNA from 1 species